rnacentral:rRNA from 1 species
UACAGAGGUCCCAAGCGUUGUUCGGAUUCAUUGGGCGUAAAGAGUGCGUAGGCGGCGCGGUAAGUCGGGUGUGAAAUCUCGGAGCUUAACUCCGAAACUGCAUUCGAUACUGCCGUGCUUGAGGACUGGAGAGGAGACUGGAAUUUACGGUGUAGCGGUGAAAUGCGUAGAUAUCUGGAGGAAUACCGGUGGCGAAGGCGGCAUCCUGGACCGGCAUUGACGCUGAUGUGCGAAAGCCAGGGGAGCAAACGGG